GAUGAACGCUGGCGGCGGGCCUAAUACAUGCAAGUCGAGCGAACAGACGGAGAUCGUUCUCCGCUUACGUUGGCGACGGACGAGUGAUGAACACGUAGAUAACCGGCCGAUGGGGAUGAGGUAACUUCGGGGGACCUAAUCUAAUAUCGGAUAAGAUAGUGAACCGGAUGGUUCAAUAGUGAUAAAGGUUUUUGCUGUGACUAAGAGGUAGAACCAGGCCGCAUUAGCUAGUUGGUAAGGUAACGGCCUACCAAGGCAACGAUGCGUAGCUGAUCUGAGAGGGUGAUCGGCCACACUGGAACUGAGACACGGUCCAGACUCCUACGGGAGGCAGCAGUGGGGAAUAUUCCACAAUGGGCGAAAGCCUGAUCGAGCAAUGCCGCGUGAGUGAUGAAGGUCUUCGGAUUGUAAAACUCUGUUAUUAGGGAAGAAGAACAGUGUAAGUAUCUCUGCCUGUUUUGACGGUACCUACACAGAAAGCACCGGCUAACUUCGUG
rnacentral:rRNA from 1 species